rnacentral:rRNA from 1 species
UACGUAGGGAGCAAGCGUUGUUCGGAUUUACUGGGCGUAAAGGGCGCGUAGGCGGCUUGACAAGUCACUUGUGAAAUCUCCGGGCUUAACUCGGAACGGCCAAGUGAAACUGUCAUGCUAGAGUGCAGAAGGGGCAAUCGGAAUUCUUGGUGUAGCGGUGAAAUGCGUAGAUAUCAAGAGGAACACCUGAGGUGAAGACGGGUUGCUGGGCUGACACUGGCGCUGAGGCGCGAAAGCCAGGGGAGCAAACGGG